AUUGAACGCUGGCGGCAGGCCUAACACAUGCAAGUCGAACGAGUGGCGGACGGGUGAGUAACGCCUGGGAAACUGCCUGAUGGAGGGGGAUCAAUACUGGAAACGGUAGCUAAUAACGCCUACCCUCAGAUGAGGCCAGCUGGGAUUAGCUUGGUGGGGGGGUAACGGCUCACCAAGGCGACGAUCCCUAGCUGGUCGGAGAGGAUGACCAGUCAAACUGGAACUGAGACACGGGCCAGACUCCUACGGGAGGCAGCAGUGGGGAAUAUUGCACAAGGGGGGCAAGCCUGAGGCAGACAUGCGGCGUGUAUGAAGCAGGUCUUCGGAUUUUAAAGCACUUUAAGUUGGGCGGCGUUACCAACAGAAUAAGCACCGGCUAACUUCGUGCCAGCAGCCGCGGUAAUAC
rnacentral:rRNA from 1 species